UACGGGGGGGGCAAGCGUUGUUCGGAAUUACUGGGCGUAAAGCGCGCGUAGGCGGCUUUUCAAGUCGGGCGUGAAAGCCCCGGGCUUAACCCGGAAAGGUCAAUCGAUACUGCGGGGCUAGAGUGCAGAAGGGGCAACUGGAAUUCUCGGUGUAGCGGUGAAAUGCGUAGAUAUCGAGAGGAACACCUGCGGCGAAGGCGGGUUGCUGGGCUGACACUGACGCUGAAGCGCGAAAGCUAGGGGAGCGAACGGG
rnacentral:rRNA from 1 species